rnacentral:rRNA from 1 species
UACGAAGGGGGCUAGCGUUGCUCGGAAUCACUGGGCGUAAAGGGCGCGUAGGCGGCCGAUCAAGUCGGGGGUGAAAGCCUGUGGCUCAACCACAGAAUUGCCUUCGAUACUGUUUGGCUAGAGACCGGAAGAGGUUAGUGGAACUGCGAGUGUAGAGGUGAAAUUCGUAGAUAUUCGCAAGAACACCAGUGGCGAAGGCGGCUAACUGGUCCGGUUCUGACGCUGAGGCGCGAAAGUGUGGGGAGCGAACCGG